GGGCAAAUAAAGCACGUUGCUCCCUGUUUACUUGGGUUUUCUGUUCAUUUCGCCUAUCGAACGUUGAACUUAAAAAGCCACGAUCAGUUGUUUAACAUACAGAUAUCUCUG
ensembl:ncRNA mir-4975 mir-4975 stem loop